rnacentral:rRNA from 1 species
AACCAUGGUAAUUCUAUGGCUAAUACAUGCGCAAUCGCCUCCUUCUCUGGAGGGGCUGUGUUUAUUAGAUACAAAACCAACCCACUUUGUGGAGUCCUGGUGAUUCAUAGUAACCGAACGGAUCGCAGUUGGCUUCGGCCCGCGAUGGAUCUUUCAAGUUUCUGACCUAUCAGCUUUCGACGGUAGGGUAUUGGCCUACCGUGGCAGUGACGGGUAACGGGGAAUUAGGGUUCGAUUCCGGAGAGGGAGCCUGAGAAACGGCUACCACAUCUAAGGAAGGCAGCAGGCGCGCAAAUUACCCAAUGAAAACAGUUUCGAGGUAGUGACGAGAAAUAACAAUACAGGGCAUUUUAUGCUCUGUAAUUGGAAUGAUGGGAAUGUAAAACCCUUUCAGAGUAACAAUUGGAGGGCAAGUCUGGUGCCAGCAGCCGCGGUAAUUCCAGCUCCAAUAGUGUAUAUUAGAGUUGUUGCAGUUAAAAAGCUCGUAGUUGGAUUUCUGUCGUGGUCAUCCGGUACCGCCCGUAUGGGUGUGCACCUGGUUUGCCCUCGGCUUUCUUCCGGUAGCCUUCGCCGCUUAACUGCGUGCGUUGGUGUUCCGGAACUUUUACUUUGAGAAAAAUAGAGUGUUUCAAGCAGGCUUGUCGCCCUGAAUACUUCAGCAUGGAAUAAUAAGAUAGGACCCUGGUUCUAUUUUGUUGGUUUCUAGGACCGAGGUAAUGAUUAAUAGGGACAGUUGGGGGCAUUCGUAUUUAACUGUCAGAGGUGAAAUUCUUAGAUUUGUUAAAGACGAACUACUGCGAAAGCAUUUGCCAAGGAUGUUUUCAUUAAUCAAGAACGACAGUAGGGGGUUUGAAGACGAUUAGAUACCGUCGUAAUC